rnacentral:rRNA from 1 species
AGCUCCAAUAGCGUAUAUUAAAGUUGCUGCAGUUAAAAAGCUCGUAGUUGGAUCUCGGGUGCAGGCUUGCGGUCCGCCUCGCGGCGGUCACUGCUCGUCCUGACCUCCACGCCGGUUGUCCGCGCCCUGGUGCUCUUGACUGAGUGUCUCGGCCGGCCGGAACGUUUACUUUGAAGAAAUUAGAGUGCUCAAAGCAGGCCUUAGCCGCCUGAAUAAUGGUGCAUGGAAUAAUGGAAUAGGACCUCGGUUCUAUUUUGCUGGUUUUCGGAGCUCGAGGUAAUGAUUAAUAGGGACAGACGGGGGCAUUCGUAUUGCGGCGCUAGAGGUGAAAUUCUUGGACCGUCGCAAGACGAACUACAGCGAUAGCAUUUGCCAAGCAUGCUUUCAUUA